UUGUCUCACUUAAUUAUUUCAUUAAUUUUGUCCGGGUUAGUAUUCACAUUAGUCAAAGGGAGGCAGGAAUCCCGAGUUCCCGCGAGCGGAAAGCCAGUAAGCGACAGAGCCAGAAGGAGAAUCCACUUGGACUUGACUUUAAAUUCCUUAACAGGGGGUCAGCCUCCGCAGCGGCGGACGGGCGCGGGUCUCCCACGCAGAGGCGGGGCGCGGGGAGCCGUGCUGCUCCCGGCCGUCCGGAGGGGGGCACUGCAGACCGCGCUCGCCUCUGCGCCCGCCUCCGGCCCUUGGUGCCCAGGGGCUCUGGCGACCGCGUGCGCCGUUCGGGCCCCCACCCCGCCUCCGCCACCCCCGGACCCCGAGUUCGGGCCAGCGCCACACGUGGGUGCCCCCUGCGCCCCGCCCUGCAUGCGCGGUCCACUUGGACACCGAAAGGCUCCAGGGACAGGGUCUUCCGGGGUGGACGUGGCGCUCCCGGCACUGGGCCCUGCGUGGCAUCUGGGGAUUUAGAGGCGUCCGGCUCCCACCGGGCGGAGGAGGGGAAACCCCGGCAAAGAGCCGGGACUCCGGGAGGAUCCCCUGCGUAUUUGAAUAUUCAGCUCAUUUGGACAUGUUCAGAAGUCAGAAAACUACUGUCAUGCAAGCAGCUAGGAGAGUUUCAAACUUGAAGAACCGCAAAGCAGAACAAGUGGAGAAGGACUUGGGAGGGCAGGUUGCAACAUGCUGACUCCUCUCGGUGCCGGUGCCGGAGAAGACUGGAGCAAUUGGAAAAAGUAUUACAUCAAUGGUAUUAUGGAAAACAAUUAAAAAGGUGGACUCCUCGGGGCACCUGGGUGCCUCAGUCGGUUAAGAGUCCGACUUCUGCUCAGGUCAUGAUAUCAUGGUUUGUGGGUUCGAGCCCUGCAUCGGGCUCUGUGCUGACGGCUUGGAGCCUGGAGCCUGCUUUGGAUUCUGUGUCUCACUCUCUCUGCCCCUCCCCUGCUCAUGAUCUGUUUCUCUCUCUGUCUCAAAAAUAAACAAACAUUAAAAAGAAAAAUUAAAACAAA